UACGUAGGUGGCAAGCGUUGUCCGGAUUUACUGGGCGUAAAGAGCGCGCAGGCGGUCGUUCAAGUCGCGUGUGAAAGCCCCCGGCUCAACUGGGGAGGGUCACGCGAUACUGAUCGACUCGAAGGCAGGAGAGGGUAGUGGAAUUCCCGGUGUAGCGGUGAAAUGCGUAGAUAUCGGAAGGAACAUCAGUGGCGAAAGCGGCUUCCUGGACCAGUACCGACGUUCAGGCACGAAAGCGUGGGGAGCAAACAGG
rnacentral:rRNA from 1 species